UUGGGUAUUUGAAAGACAAAACAACUCAAUGAUUGGUCUGUCUGUAAUAGACAGGUGAGUCUAAUAGAGAAGUGUCCGUAUCCGAAUGGUGUCCCUAUUAGAGAGGCUUCCUCAAGGAGAACUUUCACUACACUUCGAUUUUAAUAUAUUAAUGAUGUAUUCUAAAUAAGACGACAAUUUUACAACAAUGUUCUGUAUUUAGUGUUUAUUAAAAAGACUGCCAAAAUCACAGAGUUAAUCGUACAUCUUUAGUCAGAGUAUCAUGUCCAAUGUCUAAGAACUGUUGGCAAAAAUUUUGAUUUCAAUAUAAUUAAUGAUGUAUUCUUCAAUUGGGUCAUGACGAUAGACGUCCAGAAACAUUCCAUUAUUUCUAAACCUUGGCUUUUGGCCGUACCCAACACAUUGCUUUGUGCCAUUGCCUUGUGCACAGAAAAUGGUGCCCCAGUAUGCCUUCGGUUUCAAUGUUAUCACAAAUUCAUCAGGCCAAUCGUUCGGAAGUCAACGAGGCUGUUUCAUUGUCAUCACCUAUAUGAUAAGAAGAGGUUUUUGGCUGAGCAUACAGACAAUACACCCUUGUGCUCAGCAUCGUUUUUGUGAUUGCG